rnacentral:rRNA from 1 species
AUUGAACGCUGGCGGCAUGCCUUANACAUGCAAGUCGAACGGCAGCACGGGAGCAAUCCUGGUGGCGAGUGGCGAACGGGUGAGUAAUAUAUCGGAACGUGCCCAGUCGUGGGGGAUAACGUAGCGAAAGCUACGCUAAUACCGCAUACGAUCUAUGGAUGAAAGCGGGGGAUCGCAAGACCUCGCGCGAUUGGAGCGGCCGAUAUCAGAUUAGGUAGUUGGUGAGGUAAAGGCUCACCAAGCCGACGAUCUGUAGCUGGUCUGAGAGGACGACCAGCCACACUGGGACUGAGACACGGCCCAGACUCCUACGGGAGGCAGCAGUGGGGAAUUUUGGACAAUGGGCGCAAGCCUGAUCCAGCAAUGCCGCGUGCAGGAUGAAGGCCUUCGGGUUGUAAACUGCUUUUGUACGGAACGGAACGGUGAGCUCUAAUACAGUUUGCUAAUGACGGUACCGUAAGAAUAAGCACCGGCUAACUACGUG